rnacentral:rRNA from 1 species
CGCGCAGGCGGCCAGGUAAGUCGAAUGUGAAAGCCCCGGCUCAACUGGGGAGGGUACAUUCGAUACUGCUUGGGCUUGAAGGUAGGAGAGGGAAGCGGAAUUUUCAGGUGUAGUGGUGAAAUGCGUAGAUAUCUGAAGGAACACCAGUGGCGAAGGCGGCUUUCUGGCCUAUUCUUGACGCUGAGGGCGCGAAAGCUAGGGGAGCGAACG